rnacentral:lncRNA from 1 species
GGCAGACCUUAUCUUGCUCAAGCAAGUGGCGGUCCUCCUUUGAUGCUUAUCUUGGAGCCUCCUUCAAGUGGCGCAUCUUGAAGUACUAAGUUUCCUUUUCUCUAAUCUUUUCCACUUUUAAUUUCUCUCCAUUUCUUGUAUGCCAUUUUAGAAUAUUCUCUCUAGGUAUGCACUUCCCCAUCACUCUAGAUGAUUCUAGGGUUAAUACUGAAGUUAACCCUAGGGAGAAAUGUCAAGUCACUAUCACUAAAAGUGACGAGGUUGUUGAUAAGGAAAAGAUAGAGAGAGAUGAGGAAAAGAUAGAGGAGGAAAAGAUACAGAGAGAUGAGGAGAAGAUAGAGGAAGAAGAAACAUAAAGGUUGAGUGAGGAAGAUGGAGAUGAAGAGAAAGAAAAUGAAUUGGUUGAGAGAAAAGAAGAUAAGAGAAUGUGUGUGAAAAUAAAGAAGAAAAUAGGAGAGAAGAAAAAGAGCAAAUUAAGGGAGAAGAAGAGUAACAAAAAGAGGAUGAGAGGAAGAAAGAAAAGAUCAUAUGAAAAACCCCUUCCUCAUUAAAAGAAGUAUCAUAGGAAGGAAAAGAAAUUUAAGUUCUUUAUGGAGAUCUUCAAGAAAUUGGAGAUUAAAGUUCCUAUGAUUGAGACAAGGAAACAGGUGCUUGGUUUUAUCAACUUUCUAAAGAAAUUAAGCAGGAAGAAGAAAAAGAAAAGAAUAUCAAGUAGGGAGAAUACCAAC